rnacentral:rRNA from 1 species
AAAGGAAUUGACGGGGGCCCGCACAAGCAGUGGAGUAUGUGGUUUAAUUCGAAGCAACGCGAAGAACCUUACCAAGGCUUGACAUAUAGCGGAAUACGGCAGAGAUGUCGUAGUCCUUCGGGACUGCUAUACAGGUGGUGCAUGGUUGUCGUCAGCUCGUGUCGUGAGAUGUUGGGUUAAGUCCCGCAACGAGCGCAACCCCUGUUGUUAGUUGAUAACAUUAAGAUGAUCACUCUAGCGAGACUGCCGGUGAUAAAUCGGAGGAAGGUGGGGACGACGUCAAAUCAUCAUGCCCCUUAUGUCUUGGGCUACACACGUACUACAAUGGCUAUUACAGAGGGAAGCUAAGCUGUAAAGUGGAGCAAAUCCCCAAAAAUAGUCCCAGUUCAGAUUGUGGGCUGCAACCCGCCCACAUGAAGUCGGAAUUGCUAGUAAUGGCAGGUCAGCAUACUGCCGUGAAUACGUUCCCGGGCCUUGUACACACCGCCCGU